AGCUCUGUGGUGAAGAUCACACCGGAUUGCAAAUCUGGAGAUGUAGAUUAAUAGUCUGCCGGGGCUU
rnacentral:tRNA from 1 species